AGCUUCGGCCAUCCGGCGAGGGAUGAGCCCGCGGUCCAUUAGCUAGUUGGUGGGGUAACGGCCUACCAAGGCGACGAUGGAUAGCUGGUCUGAGAGGAUGAUCAGCCACACUGGGACUGAGACACGGCCCAGACUCCUACGGGAGGCAGCAGUCGGGAAUCUUGCGCAAUGGGCGAAAGCCUGACGCAGCAACACCGUGUGGGCGACGAAGGCCUUCGGGUCGUAAAGCCCUGUUGUUGGGGACGAAGGGCGAAGGGUUAAUAGCCC
rnacentral:rRNA from 1 species